AAGCGUUAUCCGGAAUCAUUGGGCGUAAAGCGCCUGUAGGUUGUUUAAUAAGUCCGUUGUUAAAGACUAGGGCUUAACCCUAGGAAAGCGAUGGAAACUGAUAGACUUGAGUAUGGCAGGGGUAGAGGGAAUUUCUAGUGUAGCGGUGAAAUGCGUAGAUAUUAGAAAGAACACCGGUGGCGAAAGCGCUCUACUGGACCAUUACUGACACUGAGAGGCGAAAGCUAGGGGAGCGAAAGGGAUUAGAUACCCCUGUAGUCCUAGCCGUAAACGAUGGAUACUAGAUGUUGUGCAAUUUGGACAGUAUCGUAGCUAACGCGUUAAGUAUCCCGCCUGGGGAGUACGCUCGCAAGGGUGAAACUCAAAGGAAUUGACGGGGGCCCGCACAAGCGGUGGAGCAUGUGGUUUAAUUCGAUGCAACGCGAAGAACCUUACCAGGGCUUGACAUACUACAGAUCUUUUUGAGGAAGAAGAGUGCCUUCGGGAAUGUAGAUACAGGUGGUGCAUGGCUGUCGUCAGCUCGUGUCGUGAGAUGUUGGGUUAAGUCCCGCAACGAGCGCAACCCUCGUUUUUAGUUGCCAAUUUAUUGGGAUCUCUAGAAAGACUGCCCGGUGACAAACCGGAGGAAGGUGAGGAUGACGUCAAGUCAGC
rnacentral:rRNA from 1 species